GAUUUAGCCAUGCUAGUCGCACGAGUUCAGACUCGUGGCGAAUAGCUCAGUAACACGUGGCCAAACUACCCUUCGGAACACAAUACCCUCGGGAAACUGAGGCUAAUAGUGUAUACCAUACCACCACUGGAAUGAGUGGUAUGCCAAACGCUCCGGCGCCGAAGGAUGUGGCUGCGGCCGAUUAGGUAGACGGUGGGGUAACGGCCCACCGUGCCAAUAAUCGGUAUGGGUCAUGAGAGUGAGAACCCAGAGACGGAAUCUGAGACAAGAUUCCGGGCCCUACGGGGCGCAGCAGGCGCGAAACCUUUACACUGCACGACAGUGCGAUAGGGGGAUCCCAAGUGCACAGGCAUAGCGCCUGUGCUUUUCGGUACCCUAAGGCGGUACCAGAAUAAGGGCUGGGCAAGACCGGUGCCAGCCGCCGCGGUAAUACCGGCAGCCCAAGUGAUGGCCGAUCUUAUUGGGCCUAAAGCGUCCGUAGCUGGCCGCGCAAGUCCAUCGGGAAAUCCACCUGCUCAACAGGUGGGCGCCCGGUAGAAACUGCGUGGCUUGGGACCGGAAGGCGCGACGGGUACGUCCGGGGUAGGAGUGAAAUCCCGUAAUCCUGGACGGACCGCCGAUGGCGAAAGCACGUCGCGAGAACGGAUCCGACAGUGAGGGACGAAAGCCAGGGUCUCGAACCGGAUUAGAUACCCGGGUAGUCCUGGCCGUAAACAAUGUCUGCUAGGUGUGGCUCCCACUACGAGUGGGUGCUGUGCCGUAGGGAAGCCGCUAAGCAGACCGCCUGGGAAGUACGUCCGCAAGGAUGAAACUUAAAGGAAUUGGCGGGGGAGCACUACAACCGGAGGAGCCUGCGGUUUAAUUGGACUCAACGCCGGACAUCUCACCAGCAUCGACUGUAGUAAUGACGAUCAGGUUGAUGACCUUAUCC
rnacentral:rRNA from 1 species